GAUGAACGCUGGCGGCGUGCCUAAUACAUGCAAGUCGAGCGAACAGACGAGGAGCUUGCUCCUCUGACGUUAGCGGCGGACGGGUGAGUAACACGUGGAUAACCUACCUAUAAGACUGGGAUAACUUCGGGAAACCGGAGCUAAUACCGGAUAAUAUAUUGAACCGCAUGGUUCAAUAGUGAAAGACGGUUUUGCUGUCACUUAUAGAUGGAUCCGCGCCGCAUUAGCUAGUUGGUAAGGUAACGGCUUACCAAGGCAACGAUGCGUAGCCGACCUGAGAGGGUGAUCGGCCACACUGGAACUGAGAAACGGUCCAGACUCCUACGGGAGGCAGCAGUAGGGAAUCUUCCGCAAUGGGCGAAAGCUUGACGGAGCAACGCCGCGUGAGUGAUGAAGGUCUUCGGAUCGUAAAACUCUGUUAUUAGGGAAGAACAAAUGUGUAAGUAACUAUGCACGUCUUGACGGUACCUAAUCAGAAAGCCACGGCUAACUACGU
rnacentral:rRNA from 1 species